CCUACGUGAGGCAGCAGUGGGGAAUAUUGGGCAAUGGGCGAAAGCCUGACCCAGCAAUGCCGCGUGAAUGAAGAAGGUCUUAGGAUUGUAAAAUUCUGUCCUAUGGGAAGAAAAAAAUGACGGUACCAUAGGAGGAAGCCCCGGCUAACUACGUGCCAACAGCCGCGGUAAUACGUAGGGGGCGAGCGUUGUCCGGAAUUACUGGGCGUAAAGGGAGUGUAGGCGGAUAUGUAAGAUAGCGGUGAAAUGCCGGGGCUCAACCCCGGAACUGCCAUUAUGACUAUGUAUCUAGAGUAAUGGAGAGGAUAGCGGAAUACCCAGUGUAGAGGUGAAAUUCGUAGAUAUUGGGUAGAACACCGGUGGCGAAGGCGGCUAUCUGGCCAUUUACUGACGCUGAGGCUCGAAAGCAUGGGGAUCAAACAGGAUUAGAUACCCCUGUAGUC
rnacentral:rRNA from 1 species